rnacentral:rRNA from 1 species
GCCGUACCAUGCUAAAUAUACCGGUUCUCGUUAGAUCACCGAAGUUAAGCAUCAUUGGGCGCGGUCAGUACUUGGGUGGGUGACCACCUGGGAACACUGCGUGCCGUU